UACAGAGGUCCCAAGCGUUGUUCGGAUUCACUGGGCGUAAAGGGUGCGUAGGCGGUCGGGUAAGUCUGAUGUGAAAUCUCACAGCUUAACUGUGAAACUGCAUUGGAUACUAUUCGGCUUGAGAGUUGGAGGGGGGACUGGAAUUCUUGGUGUAGCAGUGAAAUGCGUAGAUAUCAAGAGGAACACCAGUGGCGAAGGCGAGUCCCUGGACAACUUCUGACGCUGAGGCACGAAAGCGUGGGGAGCAAACAGG
rnacentral:rRNA from 1 species